rnacentral:rRNA from 1 species
GAUGAACGCUGGCGGCGUGCCUAAUACAUGCAAGUUGAGCGCACGGACGAGAAGCUUGCUUCUCUGAUGUUAGCGGCGGACGGGUGAGUAACACGUGGAUAACCUACCUAUAAGACUGGGAUAACUUCGGGAAACCGGAGCUAAUACCGGAUAAUAUUUUGAACCGCAUGGUUCAAAAGUGAAGGACGGUCUUGCUGUCACUUAUAGAUGGAUCCGCGCUGCAUUAGCUAGUUGGUAAGGUAACGGCUUACCAAGGCAACGAUGCAUAGCCGACCUGAGAGGGUGAUCGGCCACACUGGAACUGAGCCACGGUCCAGACUCCUACGGGAGGCAGCAGUAGGGAAUCUUCCGCAAUGGGCGAAAGCCUGACGGAGCAACGCCGCGUGAGUGAUGAAGGUCUUCGGAUCGUAAAACUCUGUUAUUAGGGAAGAACAUAUGUGUAAGUAACUGUGCACAUCUUGACGGUACCUAAUCAGAAAGCCACGGCUAACUACGUG